rnacentral:rRNA from 1 species
CGGUGUUUAACUGGCGUGAUGUGGGACGUCCUACCGGUGGGCUUAGCCUCGCGAGGGGCGGCCCAACUAAUAUCCCGUCGCGGUGCUCUUUACUGAGUGUCGAGUCGGGCCGGUACGUUUACUUUGAACAAAUUAGAGUGCUUAAAGCAGGCUAUCCUCGCCUGAAUACUGCGUGCAUGGAAUAAUGGAAUAGGACCUCGGUUCUAUUUUGUUGGUUUUCGGAACCCCGAGGUAAUGAUUAAUAGGGACAGAUGGGGGCAUUCGUAUUGCGACGUUAGAGGUGAAAUUCUUGGAUCGUCGCAAGACGGACAGAAGCGAAAGCAUUUGCCAAAAAUGUUUUCAUUAAUCAAGAACGAAAGUUAGAGGUUCGAAGGCGAUCAGAUACCGCCCUAGUUCUAACCAUAAACGAUGCCAGCUAGCGAUCCGCCGAAGUUCCUCCGAUGACUCGGCGGGCAGCUUCCGGGAAACCAAAGCUUUUGGGUUCCGGGGGAAGUAUGGUUGCAAAGCUGAAACCUAAAGGAAUUGACGGAAGGGCACCACCAGGAGUGGAGCCUGCGGCUUAAUUUGACUCAACACGGGAAACCUCACCAGGCCCAGACACCGGAAGGAUUGACAGAUUGAUAGCUCUUUCUUGAUUCGGUGGGUGGUGGUGCAUGGCCGUUCUUAGUUGGUGGAGCGAUUUGUCUGGUUAAUUCCGAUAACGAACGAGACUCUAGCCUGCUAAAUAGGCGUACCUUAUGGUAUCGCGAAGGCCCCCGGCUUCGGCCGGUGGGUUUUUACUACCAACGUACAAACAAAUCUUCUUAGAGGGACAGGCGG